UUCUUGGGGAUGAUGGGGCUUGC
rnacentral:piRNA from 1 species